rnacentral:lncRNA from 1 species
AAGGAUCGUCUAUGGUUCGGUUGGAGGUCCGCUUCGUCAUCACCAUGAUCCAGUUCUCGGAGGUGGAAUGUGUCAAGCCUUGUGCUCUCCUGCUUGGUCUACGAGAGUGGUUAUCAAGGUUUGGUGAUGAACAUGUUUAGUUGCAAAGCAUUCGCAGUACUGACUUAUUGACAGAUCUGGUAGCUUUGCUUCUUUUUCUUUGUUGCAGGGUCUAGCUAGCCGUAGAUGGAGCCAUUGCCUCAACCCGACUUUCACAGUUUCAAAACCUCUGUCCCCAGCUUCUGGUCCUUCCAUGUGGAAUUUGCGCUUUACGAGCGAUGAUGCGACUGGC